GUUGAAAUGGAAAGAGACAUGUUUUUGUAAUUCGCUUUUCUUGCUUCUUCAUUUAAACAACUGAGGAGUGACAUACGUGGUCCAAACCAAAGUAAAAAUGUCAAUGGAAAGUGAUGAGGAUGAUAUUAUUGAUGAGUUAAUGAAUAGAUUGGAAGCUGAAGAUACAAUUCGAAUAAUUCGGAAAAGUGGUCCAAGAAAUCAAGAGGAUACCGUCA